rnacentral:lncRNA from 1 species
UCACAUUGGAUGCUAGGAACAGAUUUCAGUGUUUGGAGUUUACAAUUUAUUAGCAUGAACAUGCGGUUUUGUCAAUUAAUCCAUGUUCUUGCUAUAAAAAGGAAAAAGUUAAAAAAAAAAAGAAGAGAGAAUUAGAGUCUAUUAUUUUGUACAAAACAAUACCACUUGGCUUUCAAUUAAAGUCAGAAUUAUUGAUGGCAGUUAGGAUUUAUAUCAUUGUAAAAUUAAGGAGGGGUUUGAAGUAGUUCUUGGAAAAAAAUGGUUUAGAUCUGGAAUCAAAUAAUCCAGUUGAGUUUCACUUUGCAAUUAUAGGUUGUGAAUGGUACAUUGUAGGAUUUUAACAACUAAGGUUGUGAUGGUGUGUAGGUGGG